AUUGAACGCUGGCGGCAUGCCUUACACAUGCAAGUCGAACGGUAACGGGCCUUCGGGUGCCGACGAGUGGCGAACGGGUGAGUAAUGUAUCGGAACGUACCUUUCAGUGGGGGAUAACGUAGCGAAAGUUACGCUAAUACCGCAUAUUCUGUGAGCAGGAAAGCAGGGGAUCGCAAGACCUUGCGCUGAUUGAGCGGCUGAUAUCAGAUUAGCUAGUUGGUGAGGUAAAGGCUCACCAAGGCGACGAUCUGUAGCGGGUCUGAGAGGAUGAUCCGCCACACUGGAACUGAGACACGGUCCAGACUCCUACGGGAGGCAGCAGUGGGGAAUUUUGGACAAUGGGGGCAACCCUGAUCCAGCCAUGCCGCGUGAGUGAAGAAGGCCUUCGGGUUGUAAAGCCCUUUCGGCCGGGAAGAAAUCGUAUCAGCUAAUACCUGGUGCGGAUGACGGUACCGGCAUAAGAAGCACCGGCUAACUACGUGCCAGCCGCCGCCGUAAGAC
rnacentral:rRNA from 1 species